CAGUCCGUCUCACCCUCUACUGUCUGUCUGUCUGCCUGUCUCACUCUGUCCGGUUCUUUUUUCCGUCUCGCUGCAUUUGAACACCGACAACGUGUCGCUCUUUAGCUACCGUUAGCAUGUUUAGCACCAGUGUUUGAAGUGUGACCCGGUUCGUUUGGUUAAAGGGGAACUGGUACCACGAACCACACGUCCAACACCACCAACAGCUGUGGUAUUAAUCAUUCAUCUGUUCUGUUCCGAGCUCUUAUGAUUAUUAUCGAUGCACACAUAGAACAAGAUCGUUCAGAUCACAGAAUAAAGUCUGUAAUAAAUCAAUAAGUGCAGUUAUUAACACACAUUUAUCCGGUUGUUCUGGGUGUCCAUUAGUUCCUGAUGCUAAAUAGAUAAUAUAUAUAUAAUAAAUAAGUUGUUUGAGUCCCAGUUCAUCUAAAACCAGGUGUUAGCCAGGAGCGGCCUUAAGUCCACACCGGCCAGCAGCUCUUCCUCUCCUCUUGGGGCAGUACCGGCUGUGGGGGGGGGCUCUUCCCCUGCAGAUCUGACUGCGUGGAUCGUAGGGCUGGGUGUUGUUGACCUGGUCGACCCGACGGACCCGGCGAGCACUACAAUGCUUUACUGCCUGUAAAAAGUUAAUAAAACGCUUUCAAAUGUUUCCAAAAGACGAAGCUUCAACUCAGUUUGUUUGGCAAAAAAGAACAGCUCUGUGAAUAUAAGGGACAGUCGAAAUGAAACGCAGCAGUACACAUAUAUCCGCUCGCUCCACUCAGUCAUGGUAGGUGUCACAUUAAACUAGAGAAGCUCAUCUUUCUGCUGAUGCCAAGCAAAACGUAAUCCGACAUAACCAGCUCACGUCAGCCCCGCAGCAAAGACGCAGCGAGGUUUUUGCAUUUUAUCGUCAAAAUGUGAAAUUCUGUGUUUAUGUCUCAAUAUUCCAUCAAAUAACAAAGCAAUUGUCAUCAACAGCAACAAAUGCUGUUUCCUUACCCUUUCUUGGUCCUUUUGAGUCUAUCCGUACAGUUCUCUGAUCAAAGUAGACGCCAUGGUGGCCUAUAUCGCAGACACAGCAGUGAUAUUCUACACAUUGCGAGCUUUCCAACGAGAGGUAACUUCGCGCCAUCUGUCCAUGCGUAACCAUUGUUGAUACAAGCGGUCUUUACGCAUUACGCGCGAGCACUUUCAAGUAUUGUAGUUUUAGUUAGUUUAGGUAGUUUUACGAUGGCGGAGAAGCAAAAACGAAAAAGAUUCACAAUACCGGAGGCCUUGGACGAAAUCCAGAACAGAAGUGAUGUCGAGGUUACAGACUCAUCUGAUAGCAGCAACGCUGAAUAUGAUGAAGAGGAGGACACCUUUUUUCUGCUGAGCAGGGAUCCAGUUUAUGACCAAGAGGAUGACCAACUGGAUGAGACCUCAGGUCCAUCUGGCACCAGCAGCACUGCAGCCCCCCAGCCCUCCAGCCCUCCAGCUGAAGCUACGUCUCCUCUUUCUAGUGAGGAUGAUGAAGAUGAGGAGUUUGUGCCACCGGCAAGGAAGACAAGGCGCAGUUCUGCUUCCUCAAGAUACAUGACACGCAGAUCACAGGGAGCCUCGGCAUCUACAACAAGAGUGUCACCCUCCCCUGCCCCAGCUCCAUCACAGUCAAAGAGGGGUCAGCAGAGACGACGUGGGCCUGCCGGUAAGCGGCCAAAGCAGGCUAUCUCUGGACGUGGUGAUGGUGAUGAUGACCAAGAGUGGUGGUGUAAUCCAGAAGAGCCAGAUGUGGAGCCACCACUGCCAAAGUUUGAACCAAAGCAUCCAUCAGGGCCCAGGAUUGACAGGACAGCAGCAUGGUCACCACUGAGCUUGUUCAAGCUUUUCUUCAGCUCCAGCACCAUUCACACAAUUCUCAACAACACAAAUGACAAUGCAGCCAGAAGAAAAGCAUCAGGUAUGCAUUUCAAAUGGUCUCCCUUUACAGUUGAGAACUUCUACAUAUUUUUGGCUGUAAUACUGUAUUCUGGGAUGGUCCACGUGCAUUCAAGGUCAGACAUGUGGAGAAGAGAGUGGCCCUACGACUUCACAUUUCCACGGAGCUGCAUGACCAGAGACACAUUUGAAGCCAUUUUUUGGUCCCUUCAUCUAUGUGACAUCAAAGAGGAUGAAGAGAAUCAGAAAAAGAAGGGAACACCUGAGUACGACCGGCUAUUCAAAAUCAAACCCCUCUACAGCCAGAUUGUCACUGCUUGCAACUCGCUCUUCCAGCCAUGCAGGGAAAUAAGUAUCGACGAGCGUAUGGUGGCAAGUAAAGCUAGAAUUGGCUUCAGGCAGUACAUGAGAGACAAGCCAACCAAGUUUGGAUACAAACUGUUUGUGUUGGCUGAAUCCUGUUCUGGAUAUACGUGGAAUUUCUUUGUUUACCAAGGAAAAACUGCCAAUGUUCAGGGGGAGGGUCUCAGUUUCACAUCAGUCAUGGACCUAAUGAACUUUGCACUGCUGGGAAAAGGUUACCACCUGUAUGUUGACAACUUUUACACAAGUCCAGCACUUUUUCAGCAACUUGCCACCAAUUGCACAGCAGCUUGUGGAACCAUCCGUCAGACCCACAUUGGCUUUCCCAAAACGAAACUCAACGAGUUACCAAAGAAGGCUGAGAGGGGAGACAUGAGGUGGCUGCGGAAGGACAACCUCCUCUUUGUCAAGUGGAAGGACACAACUGAGGUGACGGUGUGCAGCAGUUUCCACAAGGCAUACAGUGGAGACUCCACACGCAGGAGAGUAAAGGAGGAUGGACAGUGGCACAACAAAAACAUUCCUGUUCCUGAUGCAAUCAGAGAUUAUAACCGGUACAUGGGAGGGGUGGACCUGUCAGAUGCCAUGAUCCAGUAUUAUUCUGUUCGAGGGAAGACGAUGAGAUGGUACAAGACCUUCUUCUACCAUUUUGUAGAUAUUGCAGUCGUCAACUCCUACAUCCUCUUCAAGCUCUUGGCCAUCGGACGAGGAGAGACUCCCAUGAGCCACAAAAGAUUCAGGGAGGUCCUCAUGAAGGAGAUGGUCGAUAAGGCCCAAGCUGCAGUUGCUGCUGCUGCCCCCCGCCCCACUCUCAGCACCACCUGUAUGCCCAUGUACUUUGGACAAACUGCCACUGACCAGCGGAGGGUCUGUGUGGUGUGCAAGGACCAGGGGAGAAAGGUGAAGACACCGGUGUACUGCAGCAAGUGUGAUGUUGCUCUGUGUUUCACCUCAAGCCGGAACUGCUUCAAAGACUACCAUCUGAGGAAGUGAAAACUUUGAAAUCACAGCACUCAACUAGUGCAUACCUCAGGAACAUUCCUGUUAUUGUGUUUUUAUUUUUAUUUUUUUGUGUGCUUUUUCACUUUUACCUCAGUGAUGUUAUUAUACAUUACACAGUUCAUUGUUUUAUUCUUUAUUAUUCAUUAUUCUUAUUCUUUUUUUUAUUAUGAUUAUUGUUAUUCUUAUUAUAUAUUUGUUUUUUAUAUUUGUACAUAGUUUACAGGAUUGAUUAGUUUUUUAUGUUUAUGUGUUUCAUAGUCUUGUCAAAAAUACUUUUACAAGUUUUACAUGUUCAUAAUAAAAUUACUCCAUUUGGAGACAAAAUGAUACAAUUUAGUUUUUUUUAAAUUGACUUUAUACUGUGCACAAUAUAAAAAUAUAAAAAAAUAUAUUGCAAUGCAUUGAUGAAUCGAUAUUUUUACCCACCCCUAGUGGAUCGUCUCUUUAAAGCCUCAACCGGCUCAGCCUCCGUCAUUACUGCGUUCUUCCGGUGGGAACGAGAGGCGGAGUAAUUUUUGAAUUAUCGAGAUACUUCGAACUCCCGCGAGAACCUCCAACCUGCAUGUGACUUCCAUGGACCUCUGGUGACUCCUGCCCGCACAUACAUGCCCCAUCUUCAACUAUCAAGUCCUCAGAACUGAACUUGCGGCGGACAAAACCAAGCGCAGGAAGAGGAGAGAGCUCUCCGAGGAUCAGAAACACGAAAUCAAAGAAGCUUUCGAGUUGUUCGACACGGACAAAGACAAAGAAAUCGA